rnacentral:rRNA from 1 species
AAUGAACGCUGGCGGCGUGCCUAACACAUGCAAGUCGGAUGUGCCGCAAGGUGCAUGGCAGACGGGUGAGUAACGCGUGGGGAAUCUACCUUUUUGUGGGGAAUAACGCUCCGAAAGGAGUGGUAAUACCGCAUGAGACCAGUGGCUGGGAUGCUGCUGGUGAAACCUGGGGACCGCAAGGCCUGGGGCAAAAAGAGGAUCCUGCGUCUGAUUAGCUAGUUGGCGGGGUAAUGGCCCACCAAGGCGACGAUCAGUAGCCGGCCUGAGAGGGUGAUCGGCCACACUGGAACUGAGACACGGUCCAGACUCCUACGGGAGGCAGCAGUGGGGAAUUUUGCGCAAUGGACGAGAGUCUGACGCAGCAACGCCGCGUGGGUGAUGAAGGUCUUCGGACUGUAAAACCCUGUCGUCAGGGACGAAGGUGCACGUGUUAAUAGCAUGUGCGCUUGACGGUACCUGGAGAGGAAGCCCCGGCUAACUCUGUGCCAGCAGCCGCGGUAAUACAGAGGGGGCAAGCGUUAUUCGGAAUUAUUGGGCGUAAAGGGCGCGUAGGCGGUUUUUUAAGUCAGAUGUGUAAUCCCCGAGCUCAACUUGGGAACUGCAUCUGAGACUGGAAGGCUAGAGUACUGGAGAGGGUGGUGGAAUUCCUCGUGUAGCGGUGAAAUGCGUAGAGAUGAGGAGGAACACCAGUGGCGAAGGCGGCCACCUGGACAGUAACUGACGCUGAGGCGCGAAAGUGUGGGUAGCAAACUAGGAUUAGAUACCCUGGUAGUCCACGCUGUAAACGAUGAACACUUGGUGUGGAGGGAGUUGACCCUCUUCCGUGCCGGAGCUAACGCGUUAAGUGUUCCGCCUGGGGAGUACGGUCGCAAGGCUGA